UACGGAGGGUGCAAGCGUUAUCCGGAUUCACUGGGUUUAAAGGGUGUGUAGGCGGGCUGUUAAGUCAGUGGUGAAAUCAUCCGGGCUCAACCCGGAAACUGCCAUUGAUACUAUCAGUCUUGAAUUCUGUUGAGGUGGGCGGAAUAUGUCAUGUAGCGGUGAAAUGCAUAGAUAUGACAUAGAACACCAAUUGCGAAGGCAGCUCACUAAGCAGCGAUUGACGCUGAGGCACGAAAGCGUGGGGAUCAAACAGG
rnacentral:rRNA from 1 species